rnacentral:rRNA from 1 species
GGAUAGGUGGGAGGCUUUGAAGUGUGGACGCCAGUCUGCAUGGAGCCGACCUUGAAAUACCACCCUUUAAUGUUUGAUGUUCUAACGUUGGCCCCUAAUCGGGGUUGCGGACAGUGUCUGGUGGGUAGUUUGACUGGGGCGGUCUCCUCCUAAAGAGUAACGGAGGAGCACGAAGGUUGGCUAAUCCUGGUCGGACAUCAGGAGGUUAGUGCAAUGGCAUAAGCCAGCUUGACUGCGAGCGUGACGGCGCGAGCAGGUGCGAAAGCAGGUCAUAGUGAUCCGGUGGUUCUGAAUGGAAGGGCCAUCGCUCAACGGAUAAAAGGUACUCCGGGGAUAACAGGCUGAUACCGCCCAAGAGUUCAUAUCGACGGCGGUGUUUGGCACCUCGAUGUCGGCUCAUCACAUCCUGGGGCUGAAGUAGGUCCCAAGGGUAUGGCUGUUCGCCAUUUAAAGUGGUACGCGAGCUGGGUUUAGAACGUCGUGAGACAGUUCGGUCCCUAUCUGCCGUGGGCGCUGGAGAACUGAGGGGGGCUGCUCCUAGUACGAGAGGACCGGAGUGGACGCAUCACUGGUGUUCGGGUUGUCAUGCCAAUGGCACUGCCCGGUAGCUAAAUGCGGAAGAGAUAAGUGCUGAAAGCAUCUAAGCACGAAACUUGCCCCG